UACAGCCUUCCCGGACUCCGCCUCCGGUUCCGGAUUGUUCUCUGAAGCCGAGCCCUCACAGAGAAGAAACCCUCGGUUCGCGGUCGCCGCUGGCCGGUCGCCACCGGCGAUAACCUCGCCGCCGACGACUCCGCAUCCGCUUCCGCCGCACCCGGUGGGGAAUGGCUUCGGCGGUGGAGCGGAGGGAGCAUUCGCGGAGGUCGGGGCGCUCGAGGUCGCGCUCGCCGGCGAGGGACCGUGGCUCGCCGCCGCGCAGGCGGAGCCCGCCUGCUCGGAGGGAGAGGUCACCGGCUCCGAGGAGUCGCUCGCCUAGGAGGAGGUCUCCUGUUAAGACUACUAGCUCACAUAGGGAGAGGUCGCCUGUUCGGAGGAAUGGCUCACCUAGGAGGUCUCCUGUUAGGAGUAUUGGGAGGUCGCCACAGAGAGAUAGGGUGAAGGAGCAGGUCAGGUCGCCGAAACAAGCUCAGUCACGGUCACGGUCUCCGUCACCUGCCAGGAAACGGGAGUCUCGGUCGCCCUCACCACGGAGCAAACGAUUGAGAAGGGCUCAGAGUGAGCGGGAAGGUGCAGAUGCUACUGAGGGUGACCGUCGGAAGACCACCAGCAGGGAAGAGCGGGACUCGGGGAGGUACAGGGAGCGUGAUGAGGGAAAGGAUGUGUCAAGGGAUAGAAAGACUGAGAGGGAGGAUAGUAGGGGCUCUUUUAAGGACAGGAAACUGGAUCAUGAUGAUGAUAGGGAUCACUCAAGAGAUAGAAGGUCUGAUCGGUCGGGUGCUUCAAGGGAGACAUGGUCAAGCCGAGAUGAUGAAAGGCGUGAUUCAAGGGGUAGAAGGUCUGAUGGGGAUGAUCGAAAAGUCAAUUCCAGGGAGCAAAGGGCAGAUCAUGAUGAUAGAAGGGAUUCUGCAAGAGAGAGAAGGGCAGACCGGGAUGAGAGCAAUGGUGAAUCAGGGAGAUCAUCUAGGCGUGGGCGAUCAGUGUCUCCAGAAGAGCAUAGGCAUAGGGGUAGACGUGAAUCCCGCCAGUCACCGAGGUCAUCUAGAAGUGCAGCACAUGGUGAGGAUACAAGCUCUGUAACAGAUGCAGCGUCACGGAGUGUUGAUCCUGAUUCUUUGGUGAAGAUGAAUGCUACUGCAGAAGCUCUGGAAGCAAAAGAAAAGCAAAAACCAUCAUUUGAAUUGUCUGGAAAGCUUGCUGAGGAGACUAACAGAGUUGCAGGUGUAAAUCUGUUGCAUUCAGAACCUCCAGAGGCUCGCAAGUCAGAUAUUAGAUGGAGACUCUACGUCUUCAAGGGUGGUGAACCACUCGAAGAACCAUUAUAUGUUCACCGGAUGAGCAGCUACCUUUUUGGAAGGGAACGGAAAGUUGCAGACAUCCCCACAGAUCAUCCCUCCUGCAGUAAGCAACAUGCAGUUCUUCAAUAUAGACUUGUAGAGAAGGAGCAGCCAGAUGGCAUGAUGUCAAAGCAAGUGAGGCCUUAUCUGAUGGAUCUUGGUAGUACCAAUGGAACUUUCAUUAAUGAGAAUCGUAUUGAGCCCAGCCGUUAUUAUGAACUCUUUGAAAAGGAUACCAUUAAGUUUGGCAAUAGUAGCCGGGAGUAUGUUUUGCUUCAUGAAAACUCGAAAGAUUGAGGAUUGAAAUUGCUGGAAACUUUGCUCCAUUGUUACCUGAGAUUUUGACGUCCCUCUGCUGCUUGUUGUUUGUACUAUGGUUUCAGUCGCCUGAAUAUUUUUCAAGAAUGCCUGAAGGAACAUGGCAGAGGCCGGAGAAGCCUACUCCUCCCAUCCACAUCUUCGUGCGUCGGCGUGGCGGAGCAGCGUCAGCACGGAUGACGGUGGUGCGCUGGUGAGGCCGUCGCCGUACAUCCCGCCGUCGCCGAAGCACCCAGCGCCGCAUCAACACGGCGGAGGUGGCGCGCCGCCGCCGAUGUGGCGGCCGGUUGCUGUUGCUCCGCCGUUGGCAGGACACGAUGAUGGCCAACCUGCACCGCGACAGCGUCCCCCAAGCCCGGCAGUAUACACGGUUUAGACGUUUAGUUAUUUGUUGUAACCUUGAUGUUACAAGGUAGUCACUGCCAUUCGUGUGAUUGGAAUGCCGUUUUGUUUGGGAAAUUUGAGAGCCAUCGGGUGAGAAUACGAAAAACAAGCUAAAUUCUACUUAUUCUUAGGGCCUGUUUGGGGGAGUUUUUAGCUACUGCAGCUUCUCCCAGAAUCAGAAGCUCCCCUAAACAGUCUAGCUUUUGGUCUAAAUUAUAAGAAGCUGUAGUUGUAGAAUCCAGAAAAUAAAAAGCUAGAAGCUGGGAAACCCAGUUUUUUCA